rnacentral:tRNA from 1 species
CGGGGUGUAGCUCAGCCAGGUUAGAGCGCCUGCUUUGGGAGCAGGAGGGCGGCGGUUCGAAUCCGCCCACCCCGACCA